rnacentral:rRNA from 1 species
UACGUAGGUGACCAGCGUUGUCCGGAUUUACUGGGCGUAAAGCGUGCGCAGGCGGUGAUGUAAGACAGAUGUGAAAUCCCCGGGCUCAACCUGGGAACUGCAUUUGUGACUGCAUCGCUGGAGUGCGGCAGAGGGGGAUGGAAUUCCGCGUGUAGCAGUGAAAUGCGUAGAUAUGCGGAGGAACACCGAUGGCGAAGGCAAUCCCCUGGGCCUGCACUGACGCUCAUGCACGAAAGCGUGGGGAGCAAACAGG